UACGUAGGGUGCAGGCGUUAAUCGGAAUUACUGGGCGUAAAGCGCGCGCAGGCGGUUUGCUAAGACAGGUGUGAAAUCCCCGGGCUUAACCUGGGAACUGCGCUUGUUACUGGCAGGCUUGAGUGUGGCAGAGGGGGGUGGAAUUCCACGUGUAGCAGUGAAAUGCGUAGAUAUGUGGAGGAAUACCGAUGGCGAAGGCAGCCCCCUGGGAUAACACUGACGCUCAUGCACGAAAGCGUGGGGAGCAAACAGG
rnacentral:rRNA from 1 species